rnacentral:rRNA from 1 species
GUCCACGCCUAAACGAUGUCUACUAGUUGUCGGGUUUAAUUAACUUGGUAACGCAGCUAACGCGUGAAGUAGACCGCCUGGGGAGUACGGUCGCAAGAUUAAAACUCAAAGGAAUUGACGGGGACCCGGCACAAGCGGUGGAUGAUGUGGAUUAAUUCGAUGCAACGCGAAAAACCUUACCUACCCUUGACAUGUACGGAAGGCCGAAGAGAUUUGGUUGUGCUCGAAAGAGAACCGUAACACAGGUGCUGCAUGGCUGUCGU